AAUUUGAUCUUGGUUCAGGAUGAACGCUAGCUACAGGCUUAACACAUGCAAGUCGAGGGGCAGCAUGAUCAAAGCUUGCUUUGAUUGAUGGCGACCGGCGCACGGGUGAGUAACGCGUAUCCAACCUUCCCUAUAGUAGUGGAUAGCCCGGCGAAAGUCGGAUUAAUACACUAUGUUAUUCAACGAGGACAUCUGAAAUGAAUCAAAGGCUUGCCGCUAUAGGAUGGGGAUGCGUCUGAUUAGAUAGUAGGCGGGGUAACGGCCCACCUAGUCGACGAUCAGUAGGGGUUCUGAGAGGAAGGUCCCCCACAUUGGAACUGAGACACGGUCCAAACUCCUACGGGAGGCAGCAGUGAGGAAUAUUGGUCAAUGGACGGGAGUCUGAACCAGCCAAGUAGCGUGCAGGAUGACGGCCCUAUGGGUUGUAAACUGCUUUUAUACGGGGAUAAAGUGAGCCACGUGUGGCUUUUUGUAGGUACCGUAUGAAUAAGGACCGGCUAAUUCCGUGCCAGCAGCUGC
rnacentral:rRNA from 1 species